CCACACAUGCACUGUGUUUCCAAUCAAUACAAUUAUAGCAUGGAUAAUAAACGAUUAUCAUGAACUAAGAAAUAUAAUAAUAAAUAAUUUAUUAUUGCCUCUAGGGCAUAUUUCCAACAGUCUCCCACUUGCACUAGAGUCAAUAAUUUAGUUCACAUCACCAUGUGAUUCCAACGAAUCCAACACCCAUAUAGUCAUGGGGUCUGAUCACGUCUUGCUCGUGAGAGCGGUUUUAGUCAACGGUUCUGAAACUUUCAGACCCGUGUGUUAUUUACAAAUCUUUAUGUCAUCUUAUAGAUGCUGCUACUAUGUGCUAUUCGGAAANNNNNNNNNNAGAUUAGUGUCAAAGCUUGCAUCGACGUAACCCUUUAUGACGAACUCUUUAACCACCUCCAUAAUCGAGAAAUAUUCCUUAGUCCAUCAGUUACUAAGGAUAAAUUUUGACCGCUGCUAGUGAUUNNNNNNNNNNNNNNNNNNNNNNNNNNNNNNNNNNNNNNNNNNNNNNNNNNNNNNNNNNNNNNNNNNNNNNNNNNNNNNNNNNNNNNNNNNNNNNNNNNNNNNNNNNNNNNNNNNNNNNNNNNNNNNNNNNNNNNNNNNNNNNNNNNNNNNNNNNNNNNNNNNNNNNNNNNNNNNNNNNNNNNNNNNNNNNNNNNNNNNNNNNNNNNNNNNNNNNNGUCUAUUCUCUUUAUUCUGCCGUGGUCGUGUUUUGAGUCUUACUCAAAUUCACACCUCACAACGCAACCAAGAACUCCUUCUUUGCUGAUCUAUUUUGAACUCCUUCAAAAACUUGUCAAGGCAUGCAUCUUGUUGAAACUUCUAUUAAGCGCUUUCGAUCUAUCUUCAUAGAUCUUUGAUGCUCAACGUUCAAGUAGCGCAAUCCAGGUAUUCCUUUGAAAAACUCCUUUCAAACAACCUUUUAUGCUUCACAGAAAUUCUACAUUACUUCUGAUCAACAAUAUGUCAACCACAUACACUUAUCAGAAAUUCUAUAGUGCUCCCACUCACUUCUUUGGAAAUACAAGUUUCUCAUAAACCUUGUACAAACCGAAAAUCUUUGAUCGUCUCAUCAAAGUGUAUAUUCCAACUCCAAGAUGCUUGCACCAGUCCAUUGAAGGAUCGCUGGAGCUUGCAUACUUGCUAGUAUCUUUAGGAUCGACAAAACCUCCUGGUUGUAUCACAUACAAUGUUUGCUCAAGAAAAACAUCAAGGAAACAAUGUUUUGACAUCCUAUGUGCAAUAUUUCAUAAAUAAUGCNNNNNNNNNNNNNNNNNNNNNNNNNNNNNNNNNNNNNNNNNNNNNNNNNNNNNNNNNNNNNNNNNNNNNNNNNNNNNNNNNNNNNNNNNNNNNNNNNNNNACAAUAUGUCAAUCACAUAUACUUAUCAGAAAUUCUAUAGUGCUCCCACUCACUUCUUUGGAAAUACANNNNNNNNNNCAAAAUCUUUGAUCAUCUCAUCAAAGUGUAUAUUCCAACUCCGAGAUGCUUGCUCCAGUCCAUUGAAGGAUCGCUUGAGCUUGCAUACUUGCUAGUAUCUUUAGGAUCGACAAAACCUCCGGGUUGUAUCACAUACAAUGUUUGCUCAAGGAAACCGUCGAGGAAACAAUGUUUUGACAUCCUAUGUGCAAUAUUUCAUAAAUAAUGCAACAACUACUAACAUAAUUAUAACAGACUUUUAGCAUCGCUACGAGUGAGAAAGUCUCAUCAUAGUCAAGUGUUUGAUCUUGUCGGAAACAUCUUUGUGACAAGUCGAGCUUUUCUUAAUAGUGACUUAUCACCAUCAUCGUCUGUCUUCCUUUUAAAGCUCCAUCUUUACUCAAUAGUCCUAUGACCAUCAAGUAGUUCUUCCAAAGUCUACACUUUGUUUUCAUACAUGGAUCCUCUCUCGGAUUUCAUGGCUUCCAGCCAUUUGUCGGAAUCCGGGCCCACCAUUGCUUUCUACAUAACUCGUAGGUUCACUGUUGCUCAACAACAUGACCUCCAAGACAGGGUUACCGUACCACUCUGCAGUAGUAUGCGACCUUGUCGACCUACGAGGUUUGUAGUAACUUGAUCUGAAGCUCAAUGAUCACCAUUAUCAGCUUCCACUUCAAUUGGUGUAGGCGCCACACGAACAACUUCAUGUGCCCUGCUACACACUAGUCGAAGUGAUGGUUCAAUAACCUCAUCAAGUUCUAUCACCCUCCCACUCAAUUCUUUCGAGAGAAACCUUUCCUCGAGAAAGGANNNNNNNNNNCGAUGCUCGAUGAUCACCAUCAUCAGCUUUCACUUCAAUUGGUGUAGGCGCCACAGGAACAACUUCCUGCGCCCUGCUACACACUGGUUGAAGUGAUGGUUCAAUAACCUCAUCAAGUUCUACCACCCUCCCACUCAAUUCUUUCGAGAGAAACCUUUCCUCGAGAAAGGAUCCGUUUCUAGAAACAAACACUUUGCUUUCGGAUCUGAGAUAGGAGAUGUACCCAACUGUUUUGGAUAUCCUAUGAAGAUGCAUUUAUCCGCUUUGUGUUCGAGCUUAUUCGACUGAAACUUUUUCACACAAGUGUCGAAGCCCCAAACUUUCAAGAAGCGACAGUUUAGAUUUCUCUAAACCUCAGUCUAUAAUGUGUCAUCUCAACGGAAAUACGCGGUGCCCUAUUUAAAGUGAAUGCGGUUGUCCCUAAUGCAUAACCCAUAAACAAUAGUGGUAAUUCAAUAAGAGACAUCAUAACAUGCACCAUACCAAAUAGUGCGUGGCUAUGACGUUCAGACACAUCAUNNNNNNNNNNACGAUAGUUUAGAUUUCUCUAAACCUCAAUCUAUACUGUGUCGUCUCAACGGAAAUACGCGGUGCCCUAUUUAAAGUAAAUGCGGUUGUCUCUAAUGCAUAACCCAUAAACGAUAGUGGUAAUUCGAUAAGAGACAUCAUAGCAUGCACCAUACCAAAUAGUGCGUGGCUAUGACGUUCAGACACAUCAUCACACUAUGAUGUUCCAGGUGGCAUGAACUGCGAAACAAUUUCCACAUUGUCUUAACUGCGUACCAAAACUUGUAACUCAGAUAUUCAUUUCUAUGAUCAUAUCGUAGACAGUUUAUCCUCUUGUUACAACGAACUUCACUCCUGAAACAGAAUUGAACCUUUCAAUAUUUCAGACUUGUAAUUCAUUAAGUAAUUACUCUUGUAUCUGCUCAAAUCGUCAUUGAAGUAAGAACAUAAUGAUAUCCACUGCGUGCCUCAUCACCCAUUGGACUGCAUACAUCAAAAUGUAUCACUUCCAACAAGUUACUAUCUUGUUUCAUCUCAAUGAAAACAAGGCCUUGCUCAUGUGGUAUGAUUUGCAUGUCACUAGUGAUUCAAAAUCAAGUGAGUAUAAAGAUCCAUCAGCAUGGAGCCUCUUCAUGCAAUUUAUACCAACAUGACUCAAGCGGCAGUGCCACAAGUAAGUGGUACUAUCAUCAUUACCUCGUAUCUUUUGGCACCAAUAUCGUGAACAUGUGUAACACUACAAUCGAGAUUCAAUAAACCAUUGAAGGUGAUUAUUCAAGCAAAUAGAGUAACCAUUAUUCUCUUUAAAUGAAUAAUUGUAUUGCAAUAAACACGAUCAAUCAUGUUCAUGCUUAACGCAAGCACCAAAUAACAAUUGUUUAGGUUUAACACCAAUCCCGAUGGUAGAGGGAGCGUGCGACGUUUGAUCAUAUCAACCUUGGAAACACUUCCAACACGUAUCGUCACCUCGCCUUUAGCUAGUCUCCGUUUAUGCCGUAGCUUUCAUUUCGUGUUACUAAUCACUUAGCAACCGAACCGGUAUCCAAUACCCUCGUGCUACUAGGAGUACUAGUAAAGUACACAUCAACAUCAUGUAUAUCANNNNNNNNNNUUUAAAUGAAUAAUCGUAUUGCAAUAAACACGAUCCAAUCAUGUUCAUGCUUAACGCAAGCACCAAAUAACAAUUAUUUCGGUUUAACACCAAUCCCGAUGGUAGAGGGAGCGUGCGACGUUUUGAUCAUAUCAACCUUGGAAACACUUCCAACACGUAUCGUCACCUCGCCUUUAGCUAGUCUCCGUUUAUGUCGUAGCUAUUAUUUCGUGUCACUAAUCACUUAGCACCGAACCGGUAUCUAAUACCCUUGUGCUACUAGGAGUACUAGUAAAGUACACAUCAACAUCAUGUAUAUCAAAUAUACGUCUUUCGACUUUUGCCAGCCUUCUUAUCUACCAAGUAUCUAGAGUUGCUCCGCCUCAGUGACUGUUCCCCUCAUUACAGAAGCACUUAGUCUCGGGUUUUGGGAUUAAUCUUGGGUCUCUUCAUUAGUGCAGCAAUUGUUUUGCCAUUUCACGAAGUAUCCCUUCUAGCCCUUGUCUUUCUUGAAACUUAGUGGUUUUACUAACCAUCAACUAUUGAUGCUCCUUCUUGAUUUCUACUUUCGCAGUGUCAAACAUCGCGAAUUGCUCAAGGAUCAUUGUAUCUAUCCUUGAUAUGUUAUAGUUCAUCACGAAGCUCUCACAGCUUGGUGGCAGUGACUUUGGAGAACNNNNNNNNNNUGGGAUUGGGUUUAAUCUUGGAUCUUUUCAUUAGUGCAGCAACUGUUUUGCCGUUUCACGAAGUAUCCCUUCUAGCCCUUGCCUUUCUUGAAACUUAGUGGUUUUACCAACCAUCAACUAUUGAUGCUCCUUCUUGAUUUCUAUUCGCAGUGUCAAACAUCGCGAAUCGCUCAAGGACCAUUGUAUCUAUCCUUGAUAUGUUACAGUUCAUCACGAAGCUCUCACAGCUUGGUGGCAGUGACUUUGGAGAACNNNNNNNNNNGAUAAUCUGAGCACACGCUCAACGAUUGAGCUUUUCUCCCUUACUUUGUGGACAAAGAAUCUUGUCAGAGGUCUCGUACCUCUUAACAAGGGCACAAGCAUGAAAUCACAAUUUCNNNNNNNNNNCAUCACUAUCUCAUCUGGAAGAUUAACUCCCACUUGAUUCAAGCGAUUGUCGUACUCAAACAAUCUGAGCACACGCUCAACGAUUGAGAUUUUCUCCUUUACUUUGUGGACAAAGAAUCUUGUUGGAGGUCUCGUACCUCUUAACAAGGGCACAAGCAUGAAAUCACAAUUUCNNNNNNNNNNUCUUAUGUUCUGUGACAUUUGAAAACGUCUUCGACGCCUUGCUUCUAAGCCAAUAAGUAUUUUGUACGGAACUAUCAUGUAGUCAUCAGAAACGUGUAUGUCGGAUGUUCACAGCAUCCAUAGACGACGCUCGAGGUGCAGCACACCGAGUGGUGCAUUAAGGACAUAAGCCUUCUGCGCAGCAACGAGGACNNNNNNNNNNACUUAUGUUCUGUGACGUUUCAAAACUUCUUCGGCGCCUUGCUUCUAAGCCAUUAAGUAUUUUGCACUGAACUAUCGUGUAGUCAUCAGAAACGUGUAUGUCGGAUGUUCACAACAUCUAUAGACGACGCUCGAGGUGCAUCAUACCGAGUGGUGCAUUAAGGACAUAAGCCUUCUGCGCAGCAACGAGGACAAUCCUCGGUUUUAGUUUGCUACUAUCAACUUUCAACUAAAUUUUCUCUAGGAACAUAUAAAAAUAGCAGAGCUAUAGCGCAAGCUACAUCUUAAUUCGCAAAGACCAUUAGACUAUGUUCAUGACAAUUAGUUCAAUUAAUCAUAUUACUUAAGAACUCCCACUCAAAAAGUACAUCUCUCUAGCAUUUGAGUGGUACAUGAUCCAAAUCCACUAUCUCAAGUCCGAUCAUCACGUGAGUCGAGAAUAGUUUCAGUGGUAAGCAUCUCUAUGCUAAUCAUAUCAACUAUACGAUUCAUGCUCGACCUUUCGGUCUCAUGUGUUCCGAGGCCAUGUCUGCACAUGCUAGGNNNNNNNNNNNNNNNNNNNNNNNNNNNNNNNNNNNNNNNNNNNNNNNNNNNNNNNNNNNNNNNNNNNNNNNNNNNNNNNNNNNNNNNNNNNNNNNNNNNNCUCUCCGUCACACGGAGUGACAAAUCCCAGUCCCGAUCCAUACUAACUCAACGAACACCUUCGGAGAUACCUGUAGAGCAUCUUUAUAGUCACCCAGUUACGCUGUGAUGUUUGAUACACAUAAAGCAUUCCUCCGGUGUCAGUGAGUUAUAUGAUCUCAUGGUCAUAGGNNNNNNNNNNUAUUCCUUCGGUGUUAGUAAGUUAUAUGAUCUAAUGGUCAUAGGAACAAAUACUUGACACGCAGAAAAACAAUAGCAACAAAAGGACACGAUCAACAUGCUACGUCUAUUAGUUUGGGUCUAGUCCAUCACGUGAUUCUCCUAAUGACGUGAUCCAGUUAUCAAGCAACAACACCUUGUUCAUAAUCAGAAGACACUGACUAGCUUUGAUCAACUGGCUAGCCAACUAGAGGCUUGCUAGGGACAGUGUUUUGUCUAUGUAUCCACACAUGUAAAUGAGUCUUCAUUCAAUACNNNNNNNNNNCAGGAAACCUUGACCAUCUUUGAUCAACGAGCUAGUCAACUAGAGGCUUACNNNNNNNNNNCAACUAUAUUUCUUAUUUCCUCUAGGGCAUAAUUCCAACAGUCUCCCACUUGCACUAGAGUCAAUAAUCUAGGCAUCACAUCACCAUGUGAACUAUAUUGUAAUAAAUCUAACACCCAUACAGUUCUGGUGUUGAUCAUGCUUUNNNNNNNNNNUAGGAAUUAUAAUAAUAACUAUAUUUAUUAUUGCCUCUAGGGCAUAAUUCCAACAACGUUCCCCAACAUGCCCUAGAGGCAAUAAUAAAUUAGUUAUUAUUAUAUUUCCUUGUUCAUAAUAAUCGUUUAUUAUCCAUGCUAGAAUUGUGUUGAUUGGAAACUCAAAUACAUGUGUGGAUACAUGGACAACACACUGUCCCUAGUGAGCCUCUAGUUGACUAGUUCGUUGAUCAAAGAUGGUCAAGGUUUCCUGGCCAUAGGCAAGUGUUGUCACUUGAUAACGGGAUCACAUCAUUGGGGGAAUGAUGUGAUGGACAAGACCCAAACUAUAAACAUAGUAUAUGAUCGUGUUAGUUUAUUGCUACUGUUUUCUACAUGUCAAUGUAUCUGUUCCUAUGACCAUGAGAUCAUGCAACUCCCAGACACUGGAGGAAUACCUUGUGUGUUAUCAAACGUCGCAACGUAACUGAGUGACUAUAAAGGUGCUCUACAGGUAUCUCCAAAGGUGUCUGUUGGGUUGGCAUGGAUCAAGACUGGGAUUUGUCACUCCGUGUGACGGAGAGGUAUCUCGGGGCCCANNNNNNNNNNGCAUGGUGAUGUGAGGGCUAGAUUAUUGACUCUAGUGCAAGUGGGAGACUGUUGGAAUUAUGCCCUAGAGGCAAUGAUAAAUAAGUUAUUAUUAUAAUUCAUGUAUCAAGAUAAUCAUUUAUUAUCCAUGCUAUAUAUGUAUUGAAUGAAGACUUAGAUACAUGUGUGGAUACAUAGACAAAACACCGUCCCUAGCAAGCCUCUAGGUGGCUAGCCAGUUGAUCAAGGAUAGUCAGGGUCUUCUGACUAUGUACAAGGUGUUGUUGCUUGAUAACUAGAUCACAUCAUUGGGAGAAUCAUGUGAUGGACUAGACCCAAACUAAUAGACGUAGCAUGUUGAUCGUGUCAUUUUGUUGCUACUAUUUUCUGUGUGUCCAGUAUUUGUUCCUAUGACCAUGAGAUCAUAUAACUCACUGACACCGGANNNNNNNNNNAGGUGACUAUAUAGAUGCUCUACAGGUAUCUUUGAAGGUGUUCGUUGAGUUAGUAUGGAUCGAGACUGGGAUUUCUCACUCUGUGUGACGAAGAAGUAUCUCGGAACCCACUCGGUAAUACAACAUCACACACAAGCCUUGCAAGCAAUGUGACNNNNNNNNNNGACAGGUAUCUUCGAAGGUGUUCGUUGAGUUAGUAUGGAUCGAGACAGGGAUUUGUCACUCCGUGUGACGGAGAGGUAUCUCGGGGCCCACUCGGNNNNNNNNNNGUGUUCAUUGAGUUAGUAUGGAUAGAGAUUGGGAUUUGUCGCUCCGUGUGAUGGAGAGGUAUCUCGGGGCCCACUCGGUAAUACAACAUCACACACAAGCCUUGCAAGCAAUGUGACUUAGUGUAAGUUGCGGGAUCUUGUAUUACGGAACGAGUAAAGAGACUUGUCGGUAAACGAGAUUGAAAUAGGUAUGCGGAUACUGACGAUCGAAUCUCGGGCAAGUAACAUACCGAAGGACAAAGGGAAUGACAUACAGGAUNNNNNNNNNNUUGAAUCCUUGGCACUGAGGUUCAAAUGAUAAGAUCUUCGUAGAAUAUGUAGGAUCCAAUAUGGGCAUCCAGGUCCCGCUAUUGGAUAUUGACCGAGGAGUCUCUCGGGUCAUGUCUNNNNNNNNNNNNNNNNNNNNNNNNNNNNNNNNNNNNNNNNNNCAUCCAGUAUGGGCAUCCAGGUCCCGCUACUGGAUAUUGACCGAGGAGUCUCUCGGGUCAUGUCUACAUAGUUCUCGANNNNNNNNNNCAGGUUCCGCUAUUGGAUAUUGACCGAGGAGUCACUCGGGUCAUGUCUACAUAGUUCUCGAACUCGCAGGGUCUGCACACUUAACGUUCGAAGUUGUUUUAUGCGUAUUUGAGUUAUAUGGUUGGUUACCGAANNNNNNNNNNAUGUAGGAUCCAAUAUGGGCAUCCAGGUCCCGUUAUUGGAUAUUGACCGAGGAGUCCCUCGGGUCAUGUCUACAUAGUUCUCGAACCCGCAGGGUCUGCACACUUAAGGUUCGACGUUGUUUUAUGCGUAUUUGAGUUAUAUGGUUGGUUACCGAAUGUUGUUCGGAGUCCCGGAUGAGAUCACGGACGUCACGAGGGUUUCCGGAAUGGUCCGGAGACGAAGAUUGAUAUAUAGGAUGACCUCAUUUGAGUACCGGAAGGUUUUCGGAAUUACCGGGAAUGACGAAUGGGUUCCGGAUGUUCACCGGGGGGCAUCCCANNNNNNNNNNAGAAUGUACCGGGAAUGACGAAUGGGUUCCGGAUGUUCACCGGGGGGCAUCCCACCCCGGGGAAGCCCAUAGGCCUUAGGGGUGCCGCAACAGCCCUUAGUGGGAUGGUGGGCAAGCCCAAAAAGGCCCCUGCGCAGGAGAUAAGAAAAUCAAAGAGAAAAAAGGGGGAAGUGGGAAGGAAGGGAAGGACUCCACCUUCCAAUCCUAGUUGGNNNNNNNNNNGCACCAGCCCUUAGUGGGCUGGUGGGACAGACCAAGAAGGCCCUGUGCGCCAUAGGAAGAAAAUCAAAGAGAAAAGAAAAAAAAGAGGAGGUGUGAAAAAGGGGAAGGACUCCUCCUUCCAAACCUAGUUGGAUUCGGUUUGGAAGGGGAGGACUCCCCCCCCUUGNNNNNNNNNNCUCCUCCCCCCCCUUCGGCCGAACCCCUUGGGCUCCUUGAGCCCCAAGGAAAGGCCCCUCCCCUCCCACCUAUAUAUACGGAGGGUUUAGGGCUGAUUUGAGACAACUUUUUCACGGCAGCCCGACCACAUACCUCCACGGUUUUUCCUCUAGAUCGCGUUUCUGCUAAGUUCGGGCGGAGCCCUGCUGAGAUUAGAUCACCACCAACCUCUGGAGCGCCGUCACGCUGCCGGAGAACUCAUCUACCUCUCCGUCUCUCUNNNNNNNNNNCUUUUAGGGCUGAUUUGACACAACUUUUCCACGGCAACCCGACCACAUACCUCCACGGUUUUUCCUCUCGAUCGCGUUUCUACGGAGCUCGGGCGGAGCCCUGCCGAGAUCAGAUCACCACCAACCUCCGNNNNNNNNNNUGUAGAAUAUGUAGGAUCCAAUAUGUGCAUCCACGUCCCGCUAUUGGAUAUUGACCUGGGAGUCCCUCAGGUCAUGUCUACAUAGUUCUCGAACCCGCAGGGUCUGNNNNNNNNNNNNNNNNNNNNNNNNNNNNNNNNNNNNNNNNNNNNNNNNNNNNNNNNNNNNNNNNNNNNNNNNNNNNNNNNNNNNNNNNNNNNNNNNNNNNCGCAUCUUACUUACGCAAACACCACAACGGAGAUAUAUAAAUUGCUAUUUAACCUCAUCUAAGGACCUCCUCAGUCAAAUCCGAUUCAACUAAAGUUGGAGAAACUGACACUUUCCAGUCAUCUUUGAGCAACGGGGUUACUCGUAGCGAUGAAACCAGUCUCUCGUAAGCGUACGAGUAAUGUCGGUCCAAGCCGCUUCAAUCCAACAAUACCGCGGAAUCAAGAAAAGACUAAGGAGGGCAGCAAAACGCACAUCACCGCCCACAAAAACUUUUGUGUUCUACUCGAGAAGACAUCUACGCAUGAACCUAGCUCAUGAUGCCACUGUUGGGGAACGUCGCAUGGGAAACAAAAAAUAUCCUACGCGCACGAAGACCUAUCAUGGUGAUGUCCAUCUACGAGAGGGNNNNNNNNNNCCUUUUGUGUUCUACUCGAGAAGACAUCUACGCAUGAACCUAGCUCUGAUUCCACUGUAGGGGAACGUCGCAUGGGAAACAAAAAUUUUCCUACGCGCACGAAGACCUAUCAUGGUGAUGUCCAUCUACGAGAGGGGAUAUUCGGUCUACGUACCCUUGUAGACCGCACAGCAGAAGCGUUAGUGAACGCGGUUGAUGUAGUGGAACGUCCUCACGUUCCUCGAUCCGCCCCGCGAACCGUCCCGCGAUCAGUCCCACGAUCUAGUGCCGAACGAACGGCACCUCCGCGUCCAGCACACGUACAGCUCGACGAUGAUCUCGGCCUUCUUGAUCCAGCAANNNNNNNNNNNNNNNNNNNNNNNNNNNNNNNNNNNNNNNNNNNNNNNNNNNNNNNNNNNNNNNNNNNNNNNNNNNNNNNNNNNNNNNNNNNNNNNNNNNNUCACGUGAUUCUCCCAAUGACGUGAUCCAGUUAUCAAGCAACAACACCUUGUUCAUAAUCAGAAGACACUGACUAUCAUCGAUCAACUGGCUAGCCAACUAGAGGCAUGCUAGGGACGGUGUUUUGUCUAUGUAUCCACACAUGUAAAUGAGUCUUCAUUCAAUACAAUUAUAGCAUGGAUAAUAAACUAUUAUCUUGAUACAGGAAUUAUAAUAAUAACUAUAUUUAUUAUUGCCUCUAGGGCAUAAUUCCAACACCAUUUGUGGUUGCGAUCCACCUUUUGGUGAAGACUGAGGAGGAGCUCUCUGGUAUUCAACACGCGAGGAGGAACGGGGCUUGCUGGACGAGUCUCAGUAUCGUCCCAUGAAGAAUAAGCUUCUAGCUCUCUGAACUGGCCAUCAAGGAGCCUACUACCUUGAAUGGUCUCGAAAGUCUUCUUGUUGACCCGGAUAGGAGGCAUAUAACCAACAUGGUUUUGACAAUCAGCGUGAAUGUUGAUGCCUGUCCUUGUCCUGAUGAAUCUCAUGAUCCACGGGGCAUAUAUCUUGUGAUCAAAGGGGCACAUGGCAUUGUCGGCCAAAGUCCUCUAGAAGAAAUCAUGGAUAUUGAUAGGAAUACCGUGAAUGAUGUUGAAGAGGAUAUUCUUCAUGAGGCCUACAACAUCUUCUUCAUCAUCAUGACCUUUGAUCGGUGCGAGCACACUGCAGAGGAUUCUGUAGACAGACCUGGGUGUGUACUUGAGCUCGUGGACGAGGAAGGUUGUUCUUGAAGAUUUGCCUUCAACAAAAGGCUUCAUGAGGACUUCCAUCAUUCCAUUUGGCAGCUCACGCUCACCAUAAAGCUUCACAGCCCCAUCUGAGGGAAUUGGUACGGGCAGUUCUCUGAGGAGUUCAGUAGCAGGAGCCUUGUAUUGAGUGUUUUGUGACAUCGAGUCAAACACCAAAGUGUUGAUGUCUUCAGGGUUGCCAGAUAUGUGAAGAGUGGCAUAGAACUGAAGAAUUAGCUCGUUGUUCCAGUCAUAUAUAUCGGAGCACAUUGGGAGCAGACCUGCAUCAUGGAGUACACUAAGGACUGGCUCCAGGCAAGGUAUUGCUUCAAGCUCAACAUGAGGAAUAUGCCUGUGCUGGAAUAUCUUGUUUCGUCCACAGAGCACAGAGGCAUAGUAGUUCAUCUGAGUCCUAGUCCAAAACUUCAGAUGCCUCAUUUGAGGUUUGUCAUAGGGGUUCUCUCCGAUGAAGUACAUGCGUUCUUCAAAGAAAUUUUCUUUCUGAAACUUUGGACGCUUGGAGAAUGGCUCACGCUGAACUGGCUAAAGAUUUUAUUGGGGAAUAGGAGGGGAGACAACAAUAGCAGUCUCUGCGUUGAGCACAACGAAUGCAUUGUCUUGGGCGGGUGCAUUUUCUUCAGCAUUUUCCUUAGGGUGAGGAAUUUCAGCAGCUCGUACUUCACGCUGAGGAGAUGGUGCUUGCUCUGGCUGAGCUUCAGGCUGAGGAAUUUCUGCUUCUUUCUCAGUUGGAGGAGUUGGAUCAGCCUGUUCCUCAUCUUGAGGAGUCUGCUCAGAGUGUUGAAUUUCGUCAGCUUGAGGAUUUUCAGCUUGUUUUUCCUCAGCUGGCUUUGUGGCAGAGGCAGUUUCAUCAGCUGGUGCAGCUGAUGCUUGAACAUUUUCUGUCUGAAGAAUGAGAGGUUGAGGACUGUCGUCUAUCUGAAUUUCCUCGUCAGUGUGUUCCUCAGGGGCGACAUCCUUCAUUUCCUCAUCUGCCUUCGUAGCUGGAUCAUCAAUGACGACCAUCUCAUAGGAAGGAGCGACAUUCAGGGGCACAGGGUCCAGAGGAGCUGCUUCUUCAAUUUCUUUGAGGCGCUUUGCCUCUGUUUCUUCAACUAUUGAGGAGGCUUUUCUCUUCUUGGCUUCCUUUUUAGCAGACCUUGUUUUCUUCACGUAUGAUGCAGACGGAAUCAUCUUCUUCACCUUUUAAGCUUUUGGUGAAGGUGUUCUCUCUACAGUUUCUUCAGCUGGUAUUGAGGAACCAGCUGGAACAGAGUCAUCGGCCUGCUUUGAUGAAGCAGCUGGAUCAGGAGCAGUCUCAUCAGCGACAUCAAAUUUAUCAGUUGGAGUUUUCAUGAUGAUUUCUUCAAUGGCCGGUUCAUCAACACGACGCUCUUGGUGUACUUUCUCAGCUUGAGGAGUUUCCUCCUCAUGAGGAGAUUCAUCUGCUGGCUCCUCAAUCAAGGGCUGAGGAGUUGGUGCUGGGGGUGCGGCUCUCUGGUUGUAGUCAUCAACAGCACUAGUGGCCAGCUUGAUGAAAUUGCUCUUGAGGCUUUUGCGAUGUGAUAGCUUGGCAUACUUGUCAGUCAAUUUUUGCAGCUCUGCCUGUGUUGUCACCAGUGCACCAGGAGUCAGGUUGAGGAGAUUCUGCCUGAGGAAUUUCUCCUUUUUGAUCUUUGCAACUUUUGCCUACUUGGCCUGCUGUUCUUUCCACUUGGCUUCAUUGAUGAAAGUGGUCACCAUGUGACUGAUGCCAGGCGGAAGCUUCAAGUCAUCAAUUGGAGUGUUUUGGUCCUCAUACCAGAUGUUGAUGUAGUCAAGGAGGACCUUGAGGUCCAUGGCCAGAGGAAUGGCACUGCCUGAUGCUUGAGCUACAGUUUCUUGCUUGUUUCUCAUGAUGGCUUGCAGGGUUUCAUCAUCAAAUUCAUCACUUCCCUCUGAUGCAGACGGGACUGUGAUGAUUUUGCUGGGGCUGGGCAGAGGUGCAUGUUCCGCAGUUACCAAAGUCUUCGCAGGAGGUGUUGAAGACUUUGUCUCCGAGCUGGUUGCAGCUGGGAGUGAGGAGCUGGAGCUGGCGGUCGUAGGCUUCACGACUUGCUUCUGUACUGGUUUCUCUUGAGGCUUUGGAGGUGGAGCUGAGGAGAUUGGUACUGAUGGUUUUGGUGCUGAAGGUUUUGGUGUUGAAGAUUUUGGUAAUGAGGGUUUUGGUGGUGAGGGUUUUGUGACAGAAGCCUGAGCAGACUUCUCUUGAGGCUUUGGAGCCCUUGGCUUUGAUGGCAGAGACUGCAUUUGAGGAAUUUCUGAGCCUGAGGUUUCUGCAGCUGAGGAAUUAGCAGCACCUGAGGAUUCAUUAAAUUUCCUCACUGCAGCUUCUGCCUGCUUCUUGAGCUUGGCCAGAUGCUUUUCUUUCUCAUCUGGAUAGUAAUCAAUGGUCAUGAGGCUUGAGGGAUGUGCUACUUGAUGAUCCUCAAGUGGGGCCCUUCUGCUAGGAGGCUUCAAAGCGAAUUUCUUCGCAUAUUUGGGAGUCACAAACCUGUACUCCUUCCAUUCCUUCGCCCAUCGGUGUUCAAUCUUCUGCAGCCGUAUCUUUCUCUUGGCCAUUGUCUCAUUUUCUUCAGGCAUACAAUAGUCCAAGUAAAUGUCCUCAGGGAUAUCAGCAGCUGUGUUUUGCUCAAGUUUCUUUCCUCCCUUCUGUUUUCUGUCUUCCUCCAUUUUCUUCAGUUGAGGAUUUUGCUGAUGAUUUUGAACUCUUGAGGAUUCUGAUGAGCCUUGAAGAGUUUCUUCCAGAAACGCUACAAAUGAGUAAAUGUGAUGAGAACCGAGAGAUUCAUCAGCUGACAUGUGUGUACCUGUGAACAGAGUAUAGUUGCGAGGAAUUUGGAGAGGUCAUAUACGUUCUCAGAUUUGAAGAAAAUGAAAAAGUUUGAUAGUUUGAGGAAUAUAACCAGUGGUUGAGGAAUUUGCCUAAGCAUACUGUUCUUGGGUUCCAGAGUUGUACAGAUCCGAAAAUUCGCACAAUUGAGGAAUCUCGUGAAAAUCUUAGAUGCUUAGCAUAGUUCAUCAAUGAUUGUGGUGAUAGGUAGUGUUUGAGGAAUCAUGUGCGCAUCGUAUCUUGAGGAAAAACAGAUUUCACAUAGAAGAUGUAAAAUUUUAGAUCUAAUCUUGCUGUAAAAAUGGGAUAUAUUUGUUGGGGAAAGUCGCAUGAGAAACAAAAAUUUUCCUACGCGCACGAAGACCUAUCAUGGUGAUGUCCAUCUACGAGAGGGGAUUUCCGAUCUACGUACCCUUGUAGAUCGCACAGCAGAAGUGUUAAGAAACACGGUUGAUGUAGUGGAACGUCCUCACGUCCCUCGAUCCGCCCCGCGAACNNNNNNNNNNNNNNNNNNNNNNNNNNNNNNNNNNNNNNNNNNNNNNNNNNNNNNNNNNNNNNNNNNNNNNNNNNNNNNNNNNNNNNNNNNNNNNNNNNNNUUUACGUCGCACUCGGGGGCUUAGCUGCGAUCCUGCAUCGCCUAAGUACUAACUUCCUCCGAGUGUGCACUUCACGUCGCACUCGAGGACUUAGCUGCGAUCCUGCAUCGCCUAAGUAUUAACUAUCUCCGAGUGUGCACUUCACGUCGCACUCGGGGGCUUAGCUGCGAUCCUGCAUCGCCUAAGUAUUAACUUCCUCCGAGUGUGCACUUUACGUCGCACUCGGGGGCUUAGCUGCGAUCCUGCAUCGCCUAAGUAUUAACUUCCUCCGAGUGUGCACUUCACGUCGCACUCGGGAACUUAGCUGCGAUCUUGCAUCGCCUAAGUAUUAACUAUCUCCGAGUGUGCACUUCACGUCGCACUCGGGGACUUAGCUGCGAUCCCGAAUCACCUAAGUAACACCUUCCUUCGAGUGUGCACUUUACGUCGCACUCGGGGGCUUAGCUGCGAUCCUGCAUCGCCUAAGUAUUAAUUUCCUUCGAGUGUGCACUUCACGUCACACUCGAGGACUUAGCUGCGAUCCUGCAUCGCCUAAGUACUAAUCGCUCCUCCGAGUGUGCUCUAUACGUUACACUCGGGAACUUAGCACUGAUCAUGAAUCACCUAAGUCCUAAUAUUCUACGAGUACACAUUAAGUGUUCAACUCCAAACAGCAUUCACGCAAAAGAAUAAGUGUUUUCAUUGUGACUACCAGCAGUCUAGAAACGAUAACAGACUCGGUGCGGAUCAAGCUUACCCGCAGCGAUCUAAAAGUAUGACGGCCAACAGAAGUGGCCAGAAUAUCUUACAGACAAACACUCAGCAUACCGAGGAUAGAGUUCGAUCAUGAGUCAGCUGGGCCCGCGUCAGGACUCGAAGGUUCCACAAAGGUAUCCAGGUCGAUUCCAUUAGCAAUGCGGGUCGCAGUCUCCAGGAAUGUCUCCAUGAAGUCUUCGAAUUGAAGCUUCUUCGUGUUGGCGACUUUCAAGGCUUUCAGCUUAUCUUCCCGAACUUCUUUGCAAUGGACUCGGACCAAGGACAGCGCCACAUCAGCACCGCAACGCGCUGCCGAUUUCUUCCAAGAUUGCACUCGGCUCGGCACCUCCUCCAGUUGGCUCGUUAGGGUCUCCAUCUCCUCCCGCGACUCGUCUUCCGGCCAAAGUUCCUUGUUAAUUCGGCCAACGACUUCUCUCAGUCGACCGAUGAAAGGACCUACUUUGCUAGUGCGGAUUUGUGCUCGAAGCAGAUCCCGAUUGGCGUCCUCACCGAGUGGAACUUUGUCCUUAACAGACCGUUCCACAGCCGCCAUUUCAGCUUCAGGGUCUCUGCAAAACUCUGCCACCAACAAGCAAGCAGGCAAUGAAAACCAAAUGUACGACACACGAUAAAGCCACUCGACAAAGCAUAAGACUUACCAGCCAGACAAGUCAUCAUUUGCUCAGCCCAGUCGGUGACAUACUUCUCUUGAGCUAUGCACCUUUUGUUCAGGACGCCCAUCUGAUUAUGCAGAUCGGUCCUAUGUUUCCUCAUCAUCUGCGUCUCCGUCGUCAAUACCUUGUUUGCCUCCCGAGCUUCUUCCACGGACUUUUCUCGCGCUUCCAGAGCGUCCUUCAUACCAGCCAUGGCAAGCAUUGCAGCUUCCAGUUCACCAGCAUAUUGAUUCCUCUCCGCUCUGAGGGCUUCAUACGAAGUUCCCAUUUCACAAGUUUUCUGCACCAAACAAACAAAGGGCAGUCAGCAAGUUUAUCAGUUCACACACUAAGUUUUUCAGACCCCUGCCGACGCAAGCAGUCGACAGCGGUCUCGGGGACUACACCCAGUGGGUUCACUGAGAGUGACCCCACUGACACGCACCUCAAGCAGGUCCGCCCUAUUGAGGUGCACAUUUUCACCUAUGCCUCCGAGGCUAAAACUACUCGACUUGUGUGUAGUUUACUCUAGAGACUCUUACCGCAAGAGUGCUCCGACUGCAGUAAAUACUCGCACUCGGAAUUCUUGUCUACGGACACGAUAAACAUAAAGGCCAAACGUAUAAAGACAACUGUCGGUGCAAGCACUCGACAGAAGUCUCGGGGACUACACCCACUGGGUUCACUCGGAGUGAACCCAUUGCAAACUACAGACAACACCCAGUGGGUUACAGAAGAAAAGUAAGUACUUACUAGGUUACUUACUCGGAUGUCAUUGCGCAGCUCCAAGCUCCGCCGAUAUAAAGCUGCAGCGGAGUCAUAAACCCUCUUGGCCUCCCCGGCCAUCAGCUCCGCCUGAACCAUGGUCCCCUUGACCGCUCCCACCUGCUCCUCCGGGACACACCGAAUGUUGAAUUCGGCGUUCGACGAACCGGGAAUCGGGGGGAGAUCCUGGUUCAUCCCAAGGUUUGCCCCAGUAGGUUCCUCACCCGUCAGCGCCGGUUCAGUCGGCGAAGGCACUUCGUUUGGUAGAGCGUCGGCGGCAGGGGCGGCGGCAGGAGGAGCAGCCUCAGGGACAGGCUCUUCGACGGGCUCCGCGGUCGGGUCAGCUCUCCCCCCUGACAAGCCGAAUAACGCAGUGCUUUAGAAGAAGAAAGAGAUGGCGCAGUCUGCAGGAAUAAAAUAUCCGACUCUCCCACAACAUACCUGGUUGUGAUGAAACGACAUUGUCCGCGUCCAUGGGGUCGUCCCCUUGGCGAGCCGGCGAGGUCGCAGAAGUGGCAACCGUGUCGAGUGAAGACCAUUCUACUUGUAAAACAAGAGUUCACUCGGUCAACAGAAAGGACCGAAAACUAGAUUCGCUUACGUGGAGGUGACGGGGAUGGCCACCCUCAUCCGCGGCAGAGCCUUCCGAGGUUUGGACUCGCUCGAUUUGGGCGCCUUGGAGGUCUGGCCCGCAGGUUCAGCGGCUGCGUCCCUGGCUCUUUUGGUACCUCGAACACUCGGUGCAGCCGGGGAAGCAGGCGGGGCACUCGGCGACACAGGGGGAAUUGAAGGGACGGCAGACUCUUGUCGACGCCUAUUCCGAUGCUCUGGCCGCGGAGGCGGCGAGUCUGGCUCUUCAUCCUUUUCCUCUUCCUCGUUGUUUUCCUCCUCCGACUCUCCGCCGUCGAAGAUGUAUUCGUCGCUCUCCACGCUUCCCUCCUGGCUGCCUUCUUCAUCUUCCUCCUCCAGUUUCCCGCUCGAGACAGGGGAGAACCAGUUGGUCCACGCCUGCAUGAAUUUCAGUCGGAAACGUUAAGCAUCACGCGGAGAUAUAAAUGAGUUGCUGAAAUCAAGGUAGUUCAACGUACUCGGCUAAUGCUACUCACCUGAUUCGGUGGAGGGUUGUCCGCACUGUAAGGCGUCACUCGGCGGGCCCCCUUGGGAUUCUCACAGGGACCCGUGAUUUGGAGCACCCCUGAGGUCACCUUCUCCUCGAGAAUGUCCUCCACGUUGGUCCGAGUGGAGUCCUCGAGUCCUGCGUAGUGCCACAUAGCGUGGUGGCGGGCUUGCAGGGGCUGGAUUCGCCGACCGAUGAAGACUUCCAGCAAGUCCAUCCCAGUGACCCCCCUCCUAACAACAUCCGCGAGUGCCUCAACCAAAGGCUGGAUGUCUUUCUUCUCCGCUUUCGAGAGAGCGAGUUUCUUGGACGGAGCAGGCCGUCCUAGACUGAAUGGAGGCAGCCCAGUCGACGCGUUCGGACAUGCUAUGUCCUGGCAGUAGAACCACGUCGACUGCCAGUUCCUAACCGACUCACUCAACUGCAGAGCAGGGUAAAUACUCCGAUUCUUCUUCUGAAACCCUAAACCCCCACAGAGCUGGAGGAGUGCGUCUUGUCAUCCGAUUGACUAAGACGUUUUAUGGUUUGGGAGCGGACGGAAAAGAUGUGUUUGAAUAAACCCCAAUGGGGAGGACAACCAAUAAAGCAUUCGCAUAAAACGAUGAAGGCAGAAAUGUGUACGAUGGCAUUCGGAGGGAAAUGAUGGAGUUGUGCACCAAAAUGAUUCAUGAUACCCUUGAAGAAAGGGUGGGGGGGCACAGAGAAACCUCGGUGAACGUGGCUGAGGAGCAGGACGCGCUCCCCCUCCCGUGGCGCCGGCUCAACCUCGUCGUCCGCCGGCAACCUCCAAGACUUAUGCACGAGCUGGCCGUGCUCUACCAGCUCCAGCAGGUCCCCCUCCGUCACUGUGGAGGGGAGAAAGUCUCCCUGGAUCCAUCCCGCUGGCAAUGGCCGCUGCCGACGCUGAGCAGCCGCCGCCUUGCCCUUCUUCUUCCUUGCCUCCAUCUUGCUGGUCUGGCCCUUGGUCAUGGCGGCGAUGGCGAGCUUUCGAGAAGGAUGGGAAGGGAAAGGUGUAUGAGCGCAAGAGGUGGCGAGGGAGACGGAGCAAGCAAGAGCAGAAGAUUCGGCGAGCGUAACCGAAGGGUCUCGUCGGCCAGAGUUAAAUAGAACACCGACUGGGUCGCUGGCGAGCGGGCCCGAAAUCUUAUCCGCCCAACCAGCCGCGGCGAUAUCGGCGGAAGAGUUGAAGGCGCGAGAUCGAGGAGUCAUGCGCUACUCGAGCGCGCUGACGUCGCCCCCGCUAAGCGCACGGAACCCGAAAUUUGAGAUCCCGGAAAAUCCGCCGCUGUUAGUUGACCGGUCGUGUCAAAAGAUGCCGCGAAGGCACUCGGUUCCCGACAGUCCGUUCCGCAAAACACAUUCACUCGAAUCAUUGGCCAGGAGAGAUAGAAUGGAUAGAGGCAAGCAACGCCCAAGCCGAACCUAGUCCAGUCGGAUCUGAGCAUCGAGCACUGCUUUGACGUUUCAACCCCAAUUCAUUCGGGGACUANNNNNNNNNNNNNNNNNNNNNNNNNNNNNNNNNNNNNNNNNNNNNNNNNNNNNNNNNNNNNNNNNNNNNNNNNNNNNNNNNNNNNNNNNNNNNNNNNNNNCUGAUCUAGAGAUAAAACUAUGUGGAAUAGGCUAGAGUUGCACGUGGCAAAGUUGUGUCUCAAAAAGCACUAAACCACCACUAUGUAUAGGAGGGAGGGGGAGGGGCUAACCUUGAGGGACAAGGCCCUCAAGGUGCGCCAGCCGCAAGGAGGAGGAGGACUCCUCCUCCAAUUCGGUUUGGGAAGGAGGAGUCCUCCUCUUCCUUCCCACCUCCCUCUUUCCUUUUUCUUUUUAUUUUCUUUUGGUAUUUUCUUAUGUGGUGACAUAGCCCUCAUGGGCUGACUCCACCAGCCCAAUAAGGACUUGUCGAGCCACCCUUGGGCCUUGGGCUCACUCUCGGGUGGGUGGGCCCCUCCCAGUAAACUCCCGGUACACUCUCGGAAUUGCCCAAAACUUUCCGGUGAGCAAAUGAAACUGUCCUAUAUAUCAAUCUUCGUUUUCGGACCAUUCCGGAAACCCUUGUGACGUACGUGAUCUCAUUUGGGACUCCGAACAACAUUCGGUAACCACACAUAUAACUCAACUAUACUAAAACAUCAUCGAACCUUAAGUGUGCAUACCCUGGGGGUUCGAGAACUAUGUAGACAUGACCCGAGGCACUCCUCGGUCAAUAUCCAAUAGCGGGACAUGGAUGCCCAUAUUGGAUCCUAUAUAUUCUCCGAAGAUCUUAUCGGUUGAACCUCAGUGUCAACGAUUCAUAUAAUCUCGUAUGUCAUUCCCUUUGUCCUUUGGUAUGUUACUUGCCCGAGAUUCGAUCGUCGGUAUCCACAUACCUAUUUCAAUCUCGUUACCGGCAAGUCUCUUUACUCGUUCCAUAAUACAAGAUCCCGUGACUUACAUUUAGUCAAAUUGCUUGCAAGGCUUGUGUGUGAUGUUGUAUUACCGAGUGGGCCCCGAGAUACCUCUCCGUCACACGGAGUGACAAAUCCCAGUCUUGAUCCAUACUAACUCAACGGACACCUUCGGAGAUACCUGUAGAGCACCUUUAUAGUCACCCAGUUAAGUUGCGACAUUUGAUGCACACAAGGUAUUCCUCCAGUGCCAGUGAGUUAUAUGAUCUCAUGGUCAUAGGAAUAAAUACUUGACAUGCAGAAAACAAUAGCAAUAAAACGACACGAUCAAUAUGCUAUGUUCAUAGUUUGGGUCUACUCCAUCACAUGAUUCUCCUAAUGAUGUGAUCCCGUUAUCAAGCGACAACACUUGUCUGUGGUCAGAAAACCUUGACCAUCUUUGAUCAAUGAGCUAGUCAACUAGAGACUUACUAGGGACAAUGUUUUGUCUAUGUAUCCACACAUGUAUCUAUGUUUCCAAUCAAUACAAUUAUAGCAUGGAUAAUAAACGAUUAUCAUGAACAAAGAAAUAUAAUAAUAACUAAUUUAUUAUUGCCUCUAGGGCAUAUUUCCAACAGUCUCCCACUUGCACUAGAGUCAAUAAUCUAGUUCACAUCACCAUGUGAUUUUAACGAAUCCAAUACCCAUACAGUUCUGGGGUUUGAUCACGUCUUGCUCGUGAGAGAGGUUUUAGUCAAUGGUUCUCAAUCGUUCAGAUCCGUGUGUGCUUUACAAAUUUUUAUGUCAUCUUAUAGAUGCUGCUACUACGUGCUAUUCGGAAAUACUCCAAAUUUCUACUUUACUAUAUGAAUCCGUUUCACUACUUAGAGUUAUUCGGAUUAGUGUCAAAGCUUGCAUUGACGUAACCCUUUACGAUGAACUCUUUAAUCACCUCCAUAAUCGAGAAAAAUUCCUUAGUCCACCAGUUACUAAGGAUAACUUUGACCGCUGUUUUAGUGUUCAAACCUAGAUCACCUUUUGUACCCCUUGACAGACUCAUGGCAAGGCACACAUCAGGUGCGGUACACAGCUUGGCAUACUUUAGAGCCUACGGCUAAGGCAUAGGGGACGACCUUCAUCCUUUCUCUUUCUUCUGUCGUGGUCGGGCUUUGAGUCUUACUCAAAUUCACACCUUACAACACAACCAAGAACUCCUUUGCUGGUCUAUUUUGAACUCCUUCAAAAACUUGUCAAGGUAUGCAUUUCAUUGAAAGUUCUAUUAAGCGUUUUGAUCUAUCUCUAUAGAUCUUGAAGAUCAAUGUUCAAGUAGCUCUAUCCACGUUUUCCUUUGAAAAACUCCUUUCAAACAACCCUUUAUGCUUCACAGAAAUUCUACAUUACUUCUGAUCUACAAUAUGCCAACCACAUAUACUUAUCAAAAAUUUAUAGUGCUCCCACUCACUUCUUUGGAAAUACAAGUUUCUCAUAAACCUUGUACAAACCCAAAAGCUUUGAUCAUCUCAUCAAAGCGUAUAUUCCAACUCCGAGAUGCUUGCACCAGUCCAUAGAAGGAUCACUGGAGCUUGCAUACUUGUUAGCAUCCUUAGGAUCGGCAAACCCUUCUAGUUGUAUCACAUACAACCUUUCCUCAAGGAAACCGUCGAGGAAACAAUGUUUUGACAUCCUAUGUGCAAUAUUUCACAAACAAUGCAGCAAUUGCUAACAUAAUUCCAACAGAUUUUUAGCAUCGCUAUGAGUGAGAAAGUCUCAUCGUAGUCAACUCUUUGAAUUUGUCGAAAACAUCUUUGCGAUAAGUCGGGCUUUUCUUAAUGGUGACUUUUCACCAUCAUCGUCCGUCUUCCCUGUAAAGAUCCAUCUUUACUUAACAGUCCUACGACCAUCAAGUAGUUCUUCCAAAGUCCACACUUUGGUUUCAUACAUGGAUCCUCUCUCGGAUUUCAUGGCCUCCAGCCAUUUGUCGGAAUCCGGGUCAACCAUCGCUUCUCCAUAGCUCGUAGGUUCAUUGUUGUUCAACAACAUGACCUCCAAGACAAGGUUACCGUACCACUCUGUAGUAGUAUGCGGCCUUGUCGACCUACGAGGUUUGUAGUAACUUGAUCCGAAGCUCAAUGAUCACCAUCAUCAAUUUCCACUUCAAUUGGUGUAGGUGCCACACGAACAACUUCCUGCGCCGUGCUACAUACUGGUUGAAGUGACGGUUCACUAACCUCAUCAAGUUCCACCACCCUCCCACUCAAUUCUUUCGACAGAAACCUUUCCUCAAGAAAGGACCCAUUUCUAGAAACAAACACUUCGCUUCCGGAUCUAAGAUAGGAGAUGUACCCAACCGUUUUGGAUAUCCUAUGAAGAUGCAUUUAUCCGCUUUGGGUUCGAGGUUUAUCAGACUGAAUUUUUUUCACAUAAGCAUCGCAGCCCCAAACUUUUAAGAAACGAUAGCUUAGGUUUCUCCAAACCAUAGUCUAUACUGUGUCAUCUCAACGGAAAUACGCGGUGCCCUAUUUAAAGUGAAUGCGAUUGUCUCAAAUGCAUAACCCAUAAAUGAUAGUGGUAAUUCGAUAAGAGACAUCAUAGUAUGCACCAUAUCAAAUAGGGCACGGCUAUGACGUUUGGACACACCAUCACACUAUGGUGUUUCAGGUGGCAUGAAUUGCGAAACAAUUUCCACAUUGUCUCAAUUGUGUACCAAAACUCGCAACUCAGAUAUUCAUCUCUAUGAUCAUAUCGUAGAUAGUUUAUCCUCUUGUCACGACGAUCUUGACUCUGAAAUAGCUUUGAACUUUUCAAUAUUUCAGACUUGUGAUUCAUCAAGUAAAUACUCCUGUAUCUACUCAAGUCGUCAUUGAAGUAAGAACAUAACGAUAUCCACUGCGUGCCUGAGCACUUAUUGGACUGCACACAUCAAAUAUGUAUUACUUCCAACGAGUUACUCUCUUGUUCCAUGUGGUAUGAUUUUGCAUGUCUCAAGUGAUUGGAAAUCAAGUGAGUCCAAACGAUCCAUCUGCAUGGAGUUUCUUCAUGCAUUUUACACCAACAUGACUCAAGCGGCACUGCCACAAGUGGUACUAUCAUUAUUACUUUGUAUCUUUUGGCACCAAUAUUAUGAACAUGUGUAACACUACGAUCGAUAUUCAAUAAACCAUUGAAGGUAAUUAUUCAAGUAAAUAGAAUAACCAUUAUUAUCUUUAAAUGAAUAAUCGUAUUGCAAUAAACACGAUCCAAUCAUGUUCAUGCUCAACGCAAAACACCAAAUAACAAUUAUUUAGGUCUAACACCAAUCCCCAUAGUAGAGGGAGCGUGCGAUGUUUGAUCACAUCAACCUUGGAAACACUUCCAACACUUAUCAUCACCUCGCCUUUAGCUAGUCUCCGUUUAUUCCGUAGCUUUUAUUUCAAGUUGCUAAUCACUUAGAAAUCGAAUCGUAUCUAAUACCCAUGUGCUACUAGGAGUACUAGUAAAGUAUACAUCAAUAUCAUGUAUAUUAAAUAUAUUUCUGUUGAAUUCGCCAGCCUUCUCAUCUACCAAGUAUCUAGGGUAGCUCCGCCACAGUGACCGUUCCCCUCAUAACAGAAGCACUUAGUCUCGGGUUUGGGUUCAAUCUUGGGUUUCUUCAUUAGAGCAGCAACUGGUUUGCCGUUUCAUACAGUAUCCCUUCUAGCCCUUACCCUUCUUGAAACUAGUGGUUUUACUAACCAUCAACAAUUGAUGCUCCUUCUUGAUUUCUACUUUUGUAGUGUCAAACAUUGCGAAUUGCUCAAGGAUCAUCAUAUCUAUCCUUGAUAUGUUAUAGUUCAUCACGAAGCUCUAGCAGCUUAGUGGCACUGACUUUGGAGAACCAUCACUAUCUCAUCUGGAAGAUUAACUCCCACUACAUUCAAGCGAUUGUUGUACUCAGACAAUCUAAGAACUGUUGGGGAACGUCGCAUGGGAAACAAAAAAAUUCCUACGCACACGCAAUACCUAUCAUGGUGAUGUUCGUCUAUGAGAGGAGAUUUCCGAUCUACGUAUCCUUGUAGAUCGCACAGCAGAAGCGUUAAGAAACGCGGUUAAUGUAGUGGAACGUCCUCACGUCCCUCGAUCCGCCCCGCGAGCUGUCCCACAAACCGUCCCACGAUCCAUCCCGCGAUACGUCCCAUGAACCAUCUGGAUCUAGUGUCGAACAGACGGCACCUCCGCGUUCAGCACACGUACAACUCGACGAUGAUCUCGGCCUUCUUGAUCCAGCAAGAGAGACGGAGAGGUAGAUGAGUUCUCCGACAGCGUGACGGCGCUCCGGAGGUUGUUGAUGAUCUAUCUCAGCAGGGCUCCGCCCGAGCUCCGCAGAAAUACGAUCUAGAGGGAAAACCGUGGAGGUAUGUGGUCGGGCUGCCGUGGCAAAGUUGUGUCAAAUCAGCCCUAAUACCUCAGUAUAUAUAGGAGGGAGGGGGAGGGACCUGCCUUGAGGCUCAAGAGAGCCCCAAGGGGUCAGCCGAAGCAAGGGGGAGAGUCCUCCCCUUCCAAUCCUAGUCCAACUAGGAUUGGAAGGUGGAGUCCUUCUCCACUUUCCCACUUCCCUUUUUUUUCUCUUUGAUUUUUCUUCUCCUGCGCAUAGGGCCUCUUGAGCUGUCCCACCAGCCCACUAAGGGCUGGUGCGGCACCCCUAAGGCCUAUGGGCUUCCCCCGGGUGGGCUGGCCCCCCCGGUGAACAUCCGGAACCCAUUCGUCACUCCACGUACAUUCCCGGUAAUGCCGAAAACUUUCCGGUAAUCAAAUGAGGUCAUCCUAUACAUCAAUCUUCCUUCCUGGACCAUUCCGAAAACCCUCGUGACGUCCGUGAUCUCAUCCGGGACUCCAAAAAACAUUCGGUAACCAACCAUAUAACUCAAAUACGCAUAAAACAAUGUCGAACCUUAAGUGUGCACACCCUGCGGGUUCGAGAACUAUGUAGACAUGACCCGAGAGACUCCUCGGUCAAUAUCCAAUAGCGGGACCUGGAUGACGAUAUUGGAUCCUACAUAUUCUCCGAAGAUCUUAUCGGUUGAACCUCAGUGCCAAGGAUUCAUAUAAUCCCGUAUGUCAUUCCCUUUGUCCUUCGGUAUGUUACUUGCCCGAGAUUCGAUCGUUGGUAUCGGCAUACCUAUUUCAAUCUCGUUUACCGGAAAGUCUAUUUACUCAUUCCGUAAUAAAAGAUCCCGUGACAUACACUAAGUCACAUUACUUGAAAGGCUUGUGUGUGAUGUUGUAUUACCGAGUGGGCCCCGAGAUACCUCUCCGUCACACGGAGUGACAAAUCCCAGUCUUGAUCCAUACUAACUCAACGGACACCUUCGGAGAUACCUGUAGAGUAUCUUUAUAGUGACCCAGUUACGUUGCGACGUUUCAUACACACAAGGUAUUCCUCCGGUGCCAUUGAGUUAUAUGAUCUCAUGGUCAUAGGAAUAAAUACUUGACACGCAGAAAAACAGUAGCAACAAAAUGACACGAUCAACAUGCUACGUUCAUUAGUUUGGGUCUAGUCCAUCACAUGAUUCUCCUAAUGAUGUGAUCCCGUUAUCAAGUGACAACACUUGACUAUGGUUAGGAAACCUUGACCAUCUUUGAUCAACGAGCUAGUCAACUAGAGGCUUACUAGGGACAGUGUUUUGUCUAUGUAUCCACACAUGCACUGUGUUUCCAAUCAAUACAAUUAUAGCAUGGAUAAUAAACGAUUAUCANNNNNNNNNNAUUUUGUCUAUGUAUCCACACAAGUAUUGUGUUUCCAAUCAAUACAAUUAUAGCAUGGAUAAUAAACGAUUAUCAUGAACAAAUAAAUAUAAUAAUAACUAAUUAUUAUUGCAUCUAGGGCAUAUUUCCAACAAUAUUUACCCUGGAAGGUGGGCACGAAGAACACAGAAAGUUGUGUGUGGAGAGGCUCUUCGUUCGAGUGUCCAAUGCACCCUAACUUGGUGACAGAGGACGUCUACGGCAGCGACGGACGAAGAUGGUCCGACUCUGGCGUGAUUCCGGUGACACAGAAGUCGAGGCAGUGAAGCUCUUCCUCACCGGCGACGAGACUACCAGCGGUGGCGCUAGGGUUCGGUGGAGUGUGCUGUGGCAGGAGAGCGAUGAGGCGAAGAAGAGGAUGCCGAGGGGGAUAAGGACAUAUUUAUAGCCAAAAGUUACUGUUGGCGCGAGAAUGUCGGACCAAAUAGCCCCUGCCUCUACGUCUCCGCAGGACACGUGUAGCUCCAGUACGAUGCGAUGGAGAUAGUGGAGAUCAUGGUUAUCCGAUCGUGGGAAGUGGGGGUUCAGUUACUGUGUCUUUAAAGAAACAAAUUUUGAAGAUUUGAGGAUUUUCGUAACAAAAUCAUCAGCAGACAAGGACACAGUGAGGAUUUUGAACAAAGUUUCAAGUAGAACGCAUAUGAAGAAUUGAAUAGACUCGAUGAGUAUAGCAUAGAGGGAAAGUAGGGUCCAAUCACAUUCACUUAGCAGAAACAUCAACUUGAAGAAAUAGCAACAAGUGAAUGCUGUUGAGGACUAGAAAUCACAGUCUAUCUAGUCAAAUGAAAGUCAUCAAGUGUUUUUGAGGAUUUUUGUAAUAAAUCAUCACAAUGAAGAAUAGUUGUUUUGAAGAAAAACGCAUUGUGAGGAAAUUGAUCAUUUGAAGAAAAUCAACUUGAGGAAUUUCACAUUGGGCGAUGGCGUUACCCACCAUAUAAGAAUGUUGAUUACAGACGCCGCGUACAAUUGUCGUAGGGCCCUGAGAAUCAAUUUCUUCGUUAAUUUCUUCACAUUCAGAGUGACAUUCUUCAUCAGUUGAAGAAAAUCGAUUCAUCAUGUGUUGCACAUCUAAGUCAUCAACUUUGCAUAAGUGUUAGGAUGUGUGCAUGUUUUUACAAAACAUUUGAAGACUCUAAGAUAUUUAGCUCACACCGCAACUUGCAUAACCUUUUCUCAUCCAAGGGCUUAGUGAAGAUAUCUGUCAGUUGAUCAUCAGUCUUCACAUGGUCGAUGAUGAUAUUGCCCUUGAGGACAUGGUCCCGAAGAAAAUGAUGAUGAAUCUGGAUGUGCUUGGUCUUCGAGUGCUGUACUGGGUUGUAUGCAAUCUUGAUAGCACUCUCAUUGUCACAGUAGCGAGGCACAUUCUUCAUGUUGAUGCCGUAGUCCUUGAGGGUUUGCUUCAUCCAUAGCAAUUGAGCACAACAAGAACCAGCAGCAAUGUACUCAGCUUCGGCAGUGGACAGUGAUACACAGUUCUGCUUCUUUGAGGACCAGCAAACUAGUGAUCUUCCGAGGAAAUGGCAUGUGCCAGAAGUUGACUUGCGAUUCACACGGUCACGAGCAUAGUCUGAAUCAGAAUACCCUACCAGAUGAAGAUUGGAGCCCUUGGGAUACCAUAAUCCUAGUGUUGGUGUGUGAGCUAAGUAUCGAAGAAUAUGUUUCACAGCCUUAUGGUGUGAUUCCUUCGGUUUUGCUUGAAAACAUGCACACAUGCAAACACUAAGCAUUAUAUCUGGCCUAGAUGCACAUAGAUACAAUAAAGAGCCAAUCAUAGAACGAUAUACCUGCUGAUCGAAAUCCUUACCAUUUUCAUCAGUGCCGAGGUGGUCGUUGGUAGGCAUUGGAGUCUUGGCACCUUUGCAUUCGUGCAUGUCGAAUUUCCUCAGAACAUCCUUGAGGUAUUUCUCAUGUGAUAUGAAGAUUCCAUUGCUUUGUUGACGAAUUUGAAGAACUAAGAAGAAUUUUAGCUCCCCCAUCAUGGACAUCUGAUAUUCUUCACUCAUCAUGUAGGCAAAUUCAUCACUGUAUCUUUUGUCAGUACAGCCAAAUAUGAUAUCAUCGACAUAUAUUUGACAUACAAACAGCUCAUUAUCAUAGGAUUUUGUGAAAAGAGUUGGAUCGAGUGAACCAGGUUUGAAGCCUUUCUUCAUGAGGAAUUCCUUCAAUGUAUCAUACCAUGCCCGAGGGGCUCGCUUGAGGCCAUCCAGAGCCUUUUUGAGUCUGAAGACUUUGUCUGGAUUCUUUGGAUCCUCAAAACCUGGAGGCUGAGCAACAUAUACUUCUUCCUCAAGCUUACCAUUGAGGAAUGCACUUUUCACAUCCAUUUGAUAUAAGGUGAUGUUAUGAUGAUUAUCAUAAGCAAGUAGUAUUCGAAUAGCUUCAAGUCUAGCAACAGGUGAAAAAGUUUCAUCGAAAUCUAUUCCUUCAACCUGGGUGUAGCCUUGGGCUACAAGUCGUGCCUUGUUCCUCACCACUUGACCGUCCUCAUCUUGCUUGUUUCAGAAAAUCCACUUGGUGCCGAUGAUGUUGUGCUUGCGAGGAUCUGGUCGUUUGACGAGCUCCCAUACGUCAUUCAGCUUGAAUUCAAGAAGUUUGUCUUGCAUAGCUUGGAUCCACUCAGGUUCCAGAAAAGCCUCAGCAACUUUUGAGGGUUCUGUGAUGGAUACAAAGGAAAAGUGCCCACAAAAGUUAACUAAGUGUGAAGCUUUUGAGCGAGUGAGAGGACCUAGCGCGUUGAUGUCGUUGAGGAUUUUGUCAUGUUCUACUUCGUUUGCAAUCCUCGGAUGAGCUUGUUGAGGAUUUUGUCUAGGCUGAGGAAGUGGUGCUGGUGCAAUUUCCUCAGGAGCAUCUUCUUGGUUUUUAUCAGCGAUGGGGAUCGUUUCUUCACCAAUUUCCUCAGUGGGGACAAUGUCUUCAGUAGGCUUAAGCUUUAUUGCUUCUUCAGGAGACAGCUUAUCUGGAUCAAAAGGCAAUUGCUCUCUUUGCGAGCCAUUAGUUUCAUCAAACCGCACAUCUACAGUCUCAACAACUUUGUUGUGAUAGUUGUUGAAGAAUCUAUAAGUGUGCGAGUCCUUUCCAUAACCGAGCAUAAAACCUUCAUGUGCCUUAGGUGCAAAUUUUGAGCUAUGGUGAGGAUCUCUAAUCCAGCAUUUCGCACCGAAGACUUUGAAAUAACUUACAUUGGGUUACUUGUCAGUGAGGAGUUCAUAUGAGGUUUUCUUGAGGAAUUUGUGAAGAUAUACCCUGUUGAUGAUAUGGCAUGCAGUGUUGAUUGCUUCACGCCAAAAGCGACGAGGAGUCUGAUAUUCUUCAAGCAUAGUUCUAGCCAUUUCAACCAGAGUCCUGUUCUUCCUUUCGACGACACCAUUCUGCUGAGGAGUAUAAGGAGCAGACAAUUCGUGGGUAAUACCAAGUUCAUCAAGAUAAUCAUCAAGACCAGUGUUUUUGAACUCGGUUCCAUUAUCACUCCUGAUAUGUUUGAUCUCGAUGCCAAAGUUCGUCGAGGCCCUUGAAGAAAAUCGUUCGAAGAUUUCCUGCACUUCAGUUUUAUACACUAUGAUAUGCACCCAAGUAUAUCUGGAAUAAUCAUCAACUAUGACGAAGCCAUAUAAAGAUCCUGCAUUGGUUAGUGUGGCAUAGUGAGUAGGUCCAAAUAAAUCCAUAUGAAGCAAUUCGAAUGGACGUGUAGUGGUCAUGAUGGUUUUAGAGGGAUGCUUGGAUCUGGUCAUUUUCCGAGAUUCACAAGCACCGCAGAGAUGAUCCUUGAGGAAUUUGACUAAUUCGAUGCCGAUGACAUGCUUCUUCUUCGCGAGCGUGUACAAGUUCCUCAUGCCUGCAUGACCUAGUCUUCGGUGCCACAACCAUCCUUCUGAGGUUUUUGCUAGUAAGCAAGUGGCUGGUUGAGGACCUGUAGACAAAUCAACAAUGUACAAAUCCCCUCUUCUUACACCUUUGAAGACUUUGGAUCUGUCAGAUUCCAUGAUGACUACACAUCUAUAUCUACCAAAGAUAACAAUCAUAUCAAGAUCACAAAGCAUCGAGACCGACAUAAGGUUAAAACCAAGGGAUUCAACAAGCAUCACUUUGUCCAUAUGCCUAUCCUUGGAAAUAGCCACUUUGCCAAGUCCCAAUACCUUCCUUUUACCUUUGUCAGCAUAAGUGAUUUGCUUCAGAGGUGAUGGAGUUAGUGGCAUAUUCAUCAGUAAGAUUUUAUCACCAGUCAUGUGAUGUGUGCAGCCACUAUCAAGAACCCACUCAGUAUUCUUGGGUUUGUCAUCCUGCAGAUGAAUUAGUACAACUUACCAUCUCAUAUGCUUCAGAUUUGAAGAAUAUGAUACUAAUUUCAUCAGAUCAGUAAUUUCAUCAUAACAGAAAUGUAAGGACGUGUGAAAUAUUUCUAUUUCAUGAAUCAUUAGCUUGCGUCCUAUCAAGCAUUUCCUCAGGUCUGCAGCAAAUUCUUCAGAUGAUGAUUUUCAUCUAGAGACCUGACGUGCAGAAGUGAUUAGUUUGAUUUCUUCACCACCCACAUCUGAAGGGGUGGUAAAGCGAUCAUCAUCCUGCGAGCACCAUAUGAGAAAGGUGGCAUUGAAGCCAAUGCUCUUCUCUUAACGGUAGGGUGAUUAAAGUACUCAUAUGAAUAUGCAGAGAACUAGUUUGAGGAUUUAUGAACAUAAUGAUUUGAGGAGUAACGCUCAUAUUCAUAUUCCUUCUAGUUUCCCUGCAUGUUAGACGCAUAAGCACGGGUGCGAGCAUAGUUUUGACCAGUUGAGGAUUUUGAUCCUCUUGAAGACUUUGGUCCUCCUGAGGAAUUUGAUCUGGGGUUCAGAUUCUUCAGUGGUGGUGUCAUGAGGACAUUCACCUGAAGAUUUUCAAGACAACUUUUGGGAACCCAGAUUUUCCUCAGAGGAGGGCCAUUACUGUAGUUAGUUCCAACAUAUCGAGCAAAUACUUCACCAGAUUGAUUUUUGAACAGUUUAUAGUUGGAAUCAAAUGACUCAUCCGAGGAAUAGGAUAAUUCAGAUGAGAAGCCAGUUAGAUUAGAUGGAUCAAAAGGAGGCCCAGUAGCAGCAACCCAUGAGGUUUUGGGAUACUGCUCAAGUUUCCAAUAAGAUCCAUCAGCAUUUAAUUUCCUCUCAAAGGCAAUUCCUUCUUUCCUCGGGUUCCUGUUCAAGAUCUGCUUUUUGAGCACAUCACAAAGGGUUUGAUGUCCUUUGAGGCUUUUGUACAUGCCUGACACGUACAAUUCCUUCAACCCUGCAUUUUCAUUAGUAACAUUUGUGUUUUCCUCAAGUGAGGAAAUAGACACAACAGGUGCAGUUGAAGAAUUUGUAGCAAUGGUAGCAUUUGAUGAUUCUGGUGAGGAAUUAGCAGUUUCGCGUUCAAUGCAUUUAAGACAUGGAGGAAUAUAUUCAACUUGACUAGCGCUGAUCUAUUGAGCUAGUAAUGAAUCAUUUUCCAUACGAAGAUCAUCAUGAGACAUCCUCAGCUUCUGAAGAUCAAGCUUCCUUUGAAGAAAUUCAUAGGAAAGCUUCUCAUGAUCAGUGAGGAGUGUAUCCUAACGAUCCUGAAGAUUAUUAAAUCUAGACUGAAGACUUUUCAUGUCAUCAGUGAGGAUUUGGGUAAGGUUCAUUUCGUCAUUCAACAUAUCAUCACUUUUGUCUAGCAGUUUCUGAAGCUUUUCGAGAGCAGUUUGUUGUUUAGUGGCAAUGAUAGCAAGUUUAUUGUAACUGGGUUUCUUAUAAUCAUUAGGUUCACAGUCACUUGAAUCAGAGGACGAGGCAUUAUUUGGUACCUUCGAACCCUUUGCCAUGAAGCAAUAGGUUGGAGCGAAGUCAUCAGCAUGGAUGGUGCAAUCAUUUUCUUCAAGAUUGAAGAUUGACUUGCUGACGAAAGUGGUUUCUAGUGCAAGACUAGCCUGCCCAGAUUCUGAGUCUUCUUCAGAAUCUUAUUCUUCAUCACCUUCCUCUGAUUCUGCCUCGGAGUCCAUUUCCUUGCCAAUAAGUGCCCUAGCCUUUCUGAAACUAGUCUUCUUGUGUGAUGAGGGCUUUGAAGAUGAGGAUUUUGAAGAUUUCUUCUUCUUCUUCGAGUCAUCAGAACUGUCAUCCUUGUAUUUCUUCUUCUUUGAUUCCUUUCCCCAACGGGGACAAUCAGCAAUGUAAUGACCUGAUUUCUUGCACUUGUGACAGGUUCAUUUCUUGUAGUCCUCACAUGAAGAUUCUGAUUUCCUCAUGUCUCUUCUUGAAUAUUUACCGAACUGGCCACGUCGUGUAAAUCUCUGGAAUUUCCUCACGAGCAUUGCAAGCUCCUGUCCAAAUUCUUUAGGGUCACAAAUGCUGUCAUCUGUGUCUUCUUCUUCAGAUGAGGAAAUUGCUCUAGCCUUCAGUGCACGUGGUCUGGAAUAGCUUUGUCCAUAUAGAUCUCUCUUUUCUUCUAGCUGGAAUUCAUGAGUAUUUAGCCUUUCAAGUAUAUCAGCUGGAUCAAGCAUCUUGUAAUCUGGUCUUAAGUAUCAAAUGAAGAAUCCCAAGAUCUCACCAGUUUCUUCAUUAUCAUUAUCAAUAGCUUGUAGAUGCAUUUGCAUUUUGUUCUUCCAGAAGGGAAAGUUCUUUCCUUCGUAGGUAGGACAUGCUGCAGUCACCUUAAACAUGCCUGCAGUCGACAUAACUAAAACUCCACGUGGUUAAACCAAAAUCACACAGAACAAGGGAGUACCUUGCUCUGAUACCAAUUGAAAGUGCGUUAUAUCGACUAGAGGGGGGUGAAUAGGAGAUUUUUAGAAUUUCAUCACUGAGGAAAUUCCUUUUGAGGAAAUUCCUCACUGAUGACUAACUUACAGCGGAAACAGUAAAGGAUCAGACGUGCAAACGUUCACAACCGCAAUAUUUCAGAGUGAAGAAUGUGAAAACAGAUUGCACAGUGAGAAGGCACGCAUAAUACAGAUGAGGAUUAACUAAUGUGAAGAAUUUGGGGUUGAGGAAAUUCGGAGAAAGUCUUCAGCCAAUUCUUCAAACAGUCACAGUGAAAGUCAUCAACACAUAAUACAGGGAAAGUAAAGAGUUGAGGAAUUAGAACCCGUUUCUCAGUGAAGACAGUCGUUGAUGACCCAGUUCCAACUGCUAUGACAGUCGUACAUCUGGUUUGGAGCGGCUUGGUAUUGAAACCAAAGGACACCCAGUCCCGAGACACACAGUCCCUACCGUAUUCUCCUUGAGCUAAGGACACACAGUCCUCGCCCAACACUCGUGGUAAGUCUUCAGGGCAGACUUCCAAACCCUCACAAACUUGGUCACUCAACGAUCCACAGUUAACUGCUGGAACGCUCUAGACCAUGACGCCUAACCGUGUGGAGGAUNNNNNNNNNNNNNNNNNNNNNNNNNNNNNNNNNNNNNNNNNNNNNNNNNNNNNNNNNNNNNNNNNNNNNNNNNNNNNNNNNNNNNNNNNNNNNNNNNNNNNNNNNNNNNNNNNNNNNNNNNNNNNNNNNNNNNNNNNNNNNNNNNNNNNNNNNNNNNNNNNNNNNGCUCAAUCACUAGGUUUGGUUUGUGCUUUCGGUGGAUGGUGUAUUUCCUCAUUGAUGAAUUACUCUCGAAGACUCUGAGGAAUUUGGGUUGCUCUUAUGACAAGUGUCGGUUUCGAACGGAGCAACCAACCAGCUAGUGGUUGUGGGGUGGCUAUUUAUACCCUGGGAGCAUCCCGACAUGAUUUGACACUAAUGCCCUUAAAUAAUAUGACNNNNNNNNNNNNNNNNNNNNNNNNNNNNNNNNNNNNNNNNNNNNNNNNNNNNNNNNNNNNNNNNNNNNNNNNNNNNNNNNNNNNNNNNNNNNNNNNNNNNCCUCCACGCUCAUCGGACCACACACAUCGGUAUGUAUGAUUUCCAAUAAGUCACUUGCACGCUCCAUUGUUCCGGAGAACGGAGUCUUAGUCAUCUUGCCCAUGAGGCAUGGUUCGCACGUGUCAAGUGAAUCAAAGUCAAGUGACUCCAAAAGUCCAUCAGCAUGGAGUUUCUUCAUGCGCUUUACACCAAUAUGACCUAAGCGGCAGUGCCACAAAAAUAGGGCGCUAUCAUUGUUUACUCUAACUCUUUUGGUCUCAAUGUUAUGUAUUUGUUAUCGCUAUCAAGAUUCAAUAUGAACAAUCCUCUCACAUUCGGUGCAUGACCAUAAAAGAUGUUACUCAUAGAAAUAGAACAACCAUUAUUCUCUGACUUAAAAGAGUAACCGUCUCGCAAUAAACAAGAUCCAGAUAUAAUGUUCAUGCUCAACGCAGGCACUAAAUAACAAUGAUUUAAGUUCAUCACUGAUCCCGACGGUAGCUGAAGUGACACUGUGCCGACGGCGAUUGCAUCAACCUUGGAACCAUUUCCUACGCGCAUCGUCACUUCAUCUUUCGCCAGCCUUCGUCUAUUCCGCAGUUCGUGUUUCGAGCUGCAAAUAUGAGCAACAGAACCGGUAUCGAAUACCCAGGCACUACUACGAGAGCUGGUUAAGUACACAUCAAUAACAUGUAUAUCAAAUAUACCUGAUUUUUCUUUGGCCGCCUUCUUAUCAACCAAAUACUGGGGGCAGUUGCGCUUUCAGUGACCCAUACCCUUGCAAUAAUAGCACUCCGUUUCAGGCUUAGGUCCAUCUUUGGGUUUCUUCGUCGGAUUGGCAACAGGCUUGCCGCUCUUCUUUGAAUUACCCUUCUUUCAUUUGCCGUUUCUCUUGAAACUAGUGGUCUUAUUCACCAUCAACACUUGNNNNNNNNNNUGACUCUGCGACUUUCAGCAUCGCGAACAACUCGCCGGGUGACUUGUUCAUCCCUUGCAUAUUGUAGUUCAACACAAAGCCCUUAUAGCUUGGCGGCAGUGAUUGAAGAAUUCUGUCAGUGAUAGCCUCUUGCGGGAGUUCUAUCCCCAGCUCACCUAGACGGUUUGAGUACCCAGACAUUUUGAGCACAUGUUCACUAACAGACGAAUUCUCCUCCAUCUUGCAAGCAUAGAAUUUAUCGGAGGUCUCAUACCUCUCGAUCCGGGCGUUCUUCUGAAAGAUAAACUUCAACUCCUGGAACAUCUCAUAUGCUCCAUGAUGCUCAAAGCGACGUUGAAGUCCCGGCUUUAAGCCAUACAAGACUGCACAUUGAACAUAGCGGGUGGUUCAUCUCCUAGCGCAGCAUUAAGGACAUAAUCCUUCUUCCCAGCUUGUAAGAUUAGCUUAAGAUUACGAGCCCAGUCUACAAAGUUGCUUCCAUCAUCUUUCAANNNNNNNNNNNNNNNNNNNNNNNNNNNNNNNNNNNNNNNNNNNNNNUGCUUGUAGGAGCAACUUAAGAUUACGAGCCCAGUCUACAAAGUUGCUUCCAUCAUCUUUCAACUUAGCUUUCUCGAGGAACGUAUUAAAAUUCAGGGUGACUGUCGCGUGAGCCAUGAUCUACAACACAAAUAUAUUCAAAGUGGACUUAGACUAUGUUCAAGAUAAUUAGAGUUUAACUUAAUCAAAUUACUUUGCUAAACUCCCACUCAAAAAGUACAUCUCUCUAGUCAUUUGAGUGGUUCAUGAUCCAAUUCCACUAGCUCAAGUCCGAUCAUCACGUGAGUUGAGGAUAGUUUCAGUGGUAAGCAUCCCUAUGCUAAUCAUAUCAACUAUAUGAUUCAUGAACGACCUUUCGGUCUCAUGUGUUCCGAGGCCAUGUCUGCACAUGCUAGGNNNNNNNNNNNNNNNNNNNNNNNNNNNNNNNNNNNNNNNNNNNNNNNNNNNNNNNNNNNNNNNNNNNNNNNNNNNNNNNNNNNNNNNNNNNNNNNNNNNNAUGCUCUACAGGUAUCUCCGAAGGUGUUAGUUGAGUUAGUAUGGAUCAAGACUGGGAUUUGUCACUCCGUGUGACGGAGAGGUAUCUCGGGGCCCACUCGGUAAUACAACAUCACACACAAGCCUUGCAAGCAAUGUAACUUACAGUAAGUUGCGGGAUCUUGUAUUACGGAAUGAGUAAAGAGACUUGCCGGUAAACGAGAUUGAAAUAGGUAUGCGGAUANNNNNNNNNNNNNNNNNNNNAUAACUUAGAGUAAGUUGCGGGAUCUUGUAUUACGGAAUGAGUAAAUAGACUUGUCGGUAAACGAGAUUGAAAUAGGUAUGCAGAUACUGACGAUCGAAUCUCGGGCAAGUAACAUACCGAAGGACAAAGGGAAUGACAUACGGGAUUAUAUGAAUCCUUGACACUUAGGUUCAAACGAUAAGAUCUUCGUAGAAUAUGUGGGAUCCAAUAUGGUCAUCCAGGUCCCGCUAUUGGAUAUUGACCGAGGAGUCUCUCGGGUCAUGUCUACAUAGUUCUCGAACCCGUAGGGUCUGCACACUUAAGGUUCGACGUUGUUUUAUGCGUAUUUGAGUUNNNNNNNNNNNNNNNNNNNNNNNNNNNNNNNNNNNNNNNNNNNNNNNNNNNNNNNNNNNNNNNNNNNNNNNNNNNNNNNNNNNNNNNNNNNNNNNNNNNNUCGAAUCUCGGGCAAGUAACAUACCGAAGGACAAAGGGAAUGACAUACAGGAUUAUAUGAAUCCUUGGCACUGAGGUUCAAACGAUAAGAUCUUCGUAGAAUAUGUAGGAUCCAAUAUGGGCAUCCAGGUUCCGCUAUUGGAUAUUGACCGAGGAGUCACUCGGGUCAUGUCUACAUAGUUCUCGAACUCGCAGGGUCUGCACACUUAACGUUCGAAGUUGUUUUAUGCGUAUUUGAGUUAUAUGGUUGGUUACCGAAUGUUGUUCGGAGUCCCGGAUGAGAUCACGGACGUCACGAGGGUUUCCGGAAUGGUCCGGAAACGAAGAUUGAUAUAUAGGAUGACCUCAUUUGAUUACCGGAAGGUUUUCGGAGUUACCGGGAAUGUACCGGGAAUGACGAAUGGGUUCCGGGAGUUCACCGGGGGGGCAACCCACCCCGGGGAAGCCCAUAGGCUUUGGGGGAGACACACCAGCCCUUAGUGGGCUGGUGGGACAGCCCACAAGUGCCCUAUGCGCCAAGGAGAUGAAAAUCAAGAGAGAAAGAAAAAAAAAGGAGGAGGUGGGAAGGAAGGGGGACUCCCUCCCACCAAACNNNNNNNNNNUUGGUGGGACAGCCCACAAGUGCCCUAUGCACCAAGGAGAAGAAAAUCAAGAGAGAAAGAAAAAAAAGGAGGAGGUGGGAAGGAAGGGGGACUCCCUCCCACCAAACCUAGUCCAACUCGGUUUGGGGGGGAAGAGUCCUCCCCCUUGGACUCGGCCGACCCCCUUGGGGCUCCUUGAGCCCCAAGGCAAGGCCCCCUCCCUCCCACCUAUAUAUACGGAGGUUUUAGGACUGAUUUGAGACGACUUUUCCACGGCAGCCCGACCACAUACCUCCACGGUUUUUCCUCUAGNNNNNNNNNNNNNNNNNNNNNNNNNNNNNNNNNNNNNNNNNNNNNNNNNNNNNNNNNNNNNNNNNNNNNNNNNNNNNNNNNNNNNNNNNNNNNNNNNNNNUGUGUUUCCAAUCAAUACAAUUAUAGCAUGGAUAAUAAACGAUUAUCAUGAACAAAGAAAUAUAAUAAUAACUAAUUUAUUAUUGCCUCUAGGGCAUAUUUCCAACACAUCUUCGGGCGCCUCGUGUGUGACGCUGCUUCCUAGCUUUAAUAUCUAUCGCGGGCAAGUUUCUGAUCAUGACCUGAUUGCAUAUGUUUACCUCCCUUACCAUAAUAUAUUAUUUCUGAUCUGUGUAGGGCCAAAGUUGCUUUGUCUAGUUUCUCUGCCGGGCCAUGUGCUGAAAACCAAAACAUUUUGAACCCCCAAUUAGAAAAAGCAGCCAUCGAGGUUGACAUUUUUGAAAGGAACAUUCCAAAUGUUGCAACCGAACUCACAACCGUUUUUUAAAUGCCUAAAUCAAAUGAGACGCUUUUAAUGAACACACCAGUAGAGAUUACAUGCAUUUUAGUUAAUCAUCUUGCUCAUCCACCAAGUCCGGCUCGUCACUUUAGUCCGACGACUCAUGUGAAUGAUCCUAUUCCACCGGCUAGCCAGAGCGCUCUCGAUGUUGUUUUUGUCAAAGAGAAGUUUCAAACUCCUGUUGUUCCCGCCUGUCUUGUUAAGAUUGUGGCUAGGGAAGAAAAAUUGAACUUGGAAAAAAGGAGAAACCCAAUUGGACCUCCCGAAUAUAUCUAUGUUUAGUGCUGAAGAAAUCCACCAGCAAUACUUGACCCGGUUGUCUGAAACUCAGGAAAUUGAUGUCAAUAUGAUUUGCGCUCUCAAGGAGAAAUAUGAGGUAAAAACUCUUGCUUACCUACUCUUUAUCUUUAUAUAUUGUCCCCAGCCCCCAAGGGUCGGUUUAUCAUAAAUAUGAUAAGCCGGCUCUUUUCAAUCUAGUUAAAUGUGAACUUGCGUCCAUAGCCCCCAAGGACGAAGUCGUUAUGAUGAUAACGAGUCGGUUCUUCUUCAAGAUGGAUUUUUUUAUGAAGACUCGACCUGUAGCCCCCAAGGGCAAGCUCAUUCUGUGAGAUGAGGUGGGUCUUCCUCUUUUUGUCAUGCCCUUUUGAAAAGAACUGCUAUGCAUUAGCCCUCAAGUGCCAAGUAUAUUGUGUGUAAUAUGAUGGGGACUUCAAAAAAUAUUUCCUUAUCAUGACCUCCUUAUUGCUUAUAAUAAGUCUCUAUUAAGGCGUGUCAUAAUCACAAUUUUUUACAAACUUUGUGCAUCUGUCCAAGGUAUGCAAGAGAUGCUGAAUCUAUGGUCGUAGAGGUGCAGAAGCGUUUGAAGGAAGAUAUGAAGUUGUGGGCCAAGCCCGAACCAACGGCGGCGUAUUUUAAAAAUUCCAUUUGUCAAGUGCAAGAACGUUUUGAGCAAGCCAUGAAAACUUUUGAAGUAGAAAAAACUGACAUAUUGAAUCGUGCUGAAAAGGCCGAGGGGAAACUUGGUCCCUUGAAAGAAAAUUAUGCCAUUCUGCUUAAGCAACUAAACGAGAUGCUAACUGCCAACCUUCGUAAGACCUUGUGACCUUUAUUCCUUUGAGAUUCUUACAUUGAUAUGACAAAGGGGUGACUCAAAGUUGUAUUUGUCUCUCGUGUCUAGGCCGAACAGAUCAGUCCCUGGUACAGUUGCCCAUUAUGAAACUGAAAGCGAUAUUCACUUAUGUGGAACAACUAUUCAUCGGGUCUGUUUAUUCCAUUAUGGUCGUCAAGAAUUUGAAAUAUCUGCCCCGGACCCUCAAGCAUAUGCUAAAGCAACUCUCCACUCUGCAAUGGGUCUCUAAAACCUGGAAGUCGGCACCUCGCGGUGGGGCAAAUUUGGCUCUUGCGCGUGCUAAGUCAUAUUUACCUGAACUUGAUUUGGCGGCUCUGAAAGAUGGAUUUCCAGAAUAUCAGUUGGACGGCUUAGAAUUUACUCGUGAAGACUUUGCUCGUGUAAUGAAAGAGACCCACCGAUGGCGACUCUUUUAGCACAUCAAAUUGACACAUCCUAGUACUAUGUCGUGUAUACCAUUGAUAAUGAAAGCAUCCCAAUGCCUAAAUAUGAACCCUCUGAGCUGGUCCCGCUCGCCACAGGAGAAAAAUUGAUCCUGAAGUUGAUGCCUCUGCUACGGUUGAAGAAACUUCAAAUUUUGAGUCGUUGAGGACAAUGUGGUGGCUUCAAAAGGGUGAGCAUGCCAUUCAUGAUAAUGAGCCGGAGGAAUUGGACGGUGAAUGAGCCGGCGACGAAGAUUGAAGGCGGGUUCCUUUUGGAACAAAAUAACUCGCCUAGUAGAGAACUAGCCCCCAAGCAUUGUUUAGACAAAAAAUCUUGAAUAUUUGACAACUCCUGAUGUGAGUUUGUAAUAGGGGUAGUAGAAAUUCUGAGAUGUUUUGUCAUGCCAUCGUGCACGUUGGUUUGCACUUAGCUUGCUGUGGUAAAACCUGUCACGACAUUCUAUCAUUUUGAUCCUUUUACCAAAAUGUUUGUCUUUGCUUGGCUCCGGAUAUUUGACUGAAUUUUGAAAUAGGAAAAAACAAGUUGUGAGAGAUACUUGUCUAUUGAAUUCUUCCACAAUAUUGUCUAUGAAAUCAUAUUACUUAAACUUGUCUAUUGACUUGUGGGAGCACCGUUCCACUGUGCACCCCGUGAGAACCCCGUGUUGCCAUUGUCGGUGACCCCUUUGACCUAUAAAAGGAGGCCCUGGACAUGCACAUAGGGAGGUUAGCUAGUCAGUGAAGAUGCACUUGGCAGUUCCUCACCUUUACAUCAGAUUAUUAAACACGAAGCAGGAGUAGGGUUUUACGCCUUCGAGCGGCCCGAAUCUGGGUAAAACGAUCGCGCCCCGACCUCUCGGUCUACUCUUGGUACAUUUGUCUCCCCCGCCGAACCACAAGGGAUCUCUAGAUACCAUAGGUGUUCGUUCCCCACGACAGUCAUAGAGCAAACCCUGCCACAUGCUCUCAAGAUGGUCAUAGACCAAACCCUACAGAACGAGACAGAGAAGGUGGUGACUGAACUCACAAAAGCCACCACCGCAACUCGACCGAGACACAAAACAAGUUAGAGAAGAGGAGGACACGAGCCACCGCCGCCAUGGACCACCGGUCAGAAAAGAAGCGUCGCUUUUGCUUGUUGCUACUGAUCAGCUUGGACGGAAAGCACGAAAGGAGGAAGAAUGGCAGCGGGAGUUUGGGCAGUGGGGGCCAACAUAGGGUGACCGAAUCGGCGGGAGGUAACCCGAAAUCCUCACGUAAAUUUUUCGGGGGCGUGUGCCAUCUUCGUGGUCGCAUGAGAUCCACGCUGCGUUCCCCUCCCCUGCUCGGUCGAGCCUGGCUCUCUAGAAACUAUCGAUUCGGUGGUUCCUAGCGGGCCUACGUGUGAGGUGUUUUAAACAUCAUGCUAUGUAGGCCAAACAGUGAAUGCGGUCAACCAAACAGCCUAAUUUCUUCCCACAGGGGCCUGAUUGGGCCUCAUGCGGGCAAGGAAACACGUCCAUAUGGAUGUAUACUACAUCUGUGUAAAAUCAUUUUUUCUUUUAUUUCGGAAUAUUAUUUUCCAAAAAAUGAGCGCCUUGAAGCUCGAGCUCAAAGAAAUCAUUCUCCCACUUUUGCUUCUAUUUAAAUGAAUGAUUUCCCCCACCUCACCUACUUUCAUUUUUUAGGGACCCAACUCACUUAUUAAGUAGUGGUAAAAGAAGACCGGCUACUUGUCAAAUGUCUCAAAAACAAUUCUAGCUUAGUCGAUCUCCCUCCUCCUUUCUCAACCGUUAGAUCAAAAUCCAAUGGACCAUGGUCAACUUCAACCUCCAACUCAUGUCUUUCUUCUAUCUCUCACCCCCCCCCCUUCUCGAUCCAGCCAGUCCUAGUUGCCUGCUUCAGUCGCCCGCGACCAGCCUCGCCGCCUCUCCCUCCCCCGAACCUCCUCCACCUUUGGUACUCCUCCGUCCCCGGCCAUCUCUCUAGCCCCGGGCCUCAUCGGUUUUUUCUCUAGCACCCCCCCUCCCCUCCCCCGCAUCAUCGUUCUUCCGCUGCCACCCCCAGCAUAAGAUAGAUCACGAGGAAACUUCUCUGGCUCUUUCUUCCUUCCCUUCGACGCCUCCUUUCUUCUAGCGAAAAUCUACUUAACCAAAUUGGAUUUUCACGCGACAGAUGUUUAGCUAACGUGUGUUAAAAAAAAGGUCAUAUAUCAUGGGAACAAAACUGGUUUGCUUGAGAUUUUAAAUUCAAUCAAGCUGUUUGACCUUUCUAAAAUAAAGUGAGCAUGUCGUGACCCAACCCAAGGGCACAAAAUUCACGUUUGAUCCGGUAGCGUUCGUUUGAAAACCCACCCGCACCAGAUCUCUACAGAUCCCACCGUCCAGCUCUCUUUUCCUUAACGGCGACCUACCAACAAACGGACAAGAAAAUGCCAAUUUGUGCUCCAAAAUCGUCGCGACGAUUGCUGUGGGCAGCUCUCCUCGUCGCCCCGCUCGUCGCUGCGCUCUACCAAUUCCCGAUCCAAAUCCUAAAUCCCCGCGCCCCAGAGCCGAAGGCCGCCCCCGCCACCGCCGCCAUGGACGCCGGCCCCGAGCUGGAGCUGGAGCUGGAGCUGGAGUACGAUAUGCCGGGCGUCCUGCGCGUGCACAAGAGCGGCCGCGUCGAGCGCUUCGACGGCGUCGAGACCGUCCCGCCCUCCCCCUCCGGGGACCCCUCCAACGGCGUCGCCUCCAAGGACGUGGUCCUUGACCCCGCGGCCAGCAUCUCCGCCCGCCUCUACCUCCCCGCCGCCGCCGCCGCGGAGCCCGGCAAGAAGUUCCCCGUCGUCAUCUUCUUCCACGGCGGCGCGUUCUUCGUCCACACCGCCGCGUCCCCGCUCUACCACAGGUACUGCGCCUCCCUCGCCGCCGCGGUCCCCGCAGUCGUCGUCUCGGUCGACUACCGUCUCGCCCCGGAGCACCCCAUCCCGGCCGCCUACGAGGACGCCUUCGCGGCCCUCAAGGCGGUCGUCGGCGCGUGCCGUCCGGGCGGCGCCGAGCCCUGGCUCGCCGCGCACGGGGACGCCUCCCGCGUGGUCCUCGCGGGCGACAGCGCCGGCGCCAACAUGGCGCACGCCACGGCGAUACGGCUGGGGAAGGAGGGCAUCGACGGGUACGGCGACAAGGUCAGCGGCGUGGCGCUCCUGAACCCCUACUUCUGGGGGAAACAGCCGGUGGGCGGGGAGCCGACCGACGCCGGGUACCGCGGCGGCUUCGAGCGCGCGUGGCAGGUCAUCUGCAGCGGCAAGUUCGGGCCCGACCACCCGUACAUCAACCCGGCGACGGCCCCGGAGGAGUGGAGGCGGCUCGGGAGCGGCCGCGUGCUGGUCACCACGGCGGAGCACUGCUGGUUCGUGGAGCGGGCGCGCGCGUACGCGGAGGGGAUCAAGGCGUGCGGGUGGGACGGCGAGCUCCAGUUCCACGAGACCAAGGGCGAGGCGCAUGUCUACUUCCUGCCCAAGUACGACUCCGACACCGCCGUCGAGGAGCUCGCCAUGGUGGCGGAUUUCGUCAGGCGCUGUUGAGGAUCUGCUUGCUUUCAUUCAGCAAUAAAGGAGCACAUGAUUUGUGAUGUAUUUCGUGUGUUUUCUGCUGUGAAUUUGUGGAGUUCAUACGAAAGGAUCAAUAUUUGCAUUGUUGAGCAAGACUUGUUGAUGAACUCUUGUUCUGAUUACAGUUAACACGAAAGGAUCAAUAUUUGCAUAGGCAACAAAAACAUACGGCAGUGUUCUCUGACCUCUGAAUCAAGGAAUGCGUCCGCUCGGUCCAUCAGUGUUGAAGACUCAUCCCGAGCCAAAAAUCAUGACUACACAAGUGCCGCCAUUCUACCCGCCUGGGCCUAGUAGUAGGUGUAGCAGUCAUGGAAAAGAUCUUGGACGCCAAUGUCUGGUGGCCGUUCCCCACAGAACAUGCGUGGAGGAAUGCAAUCCCAGCGAACCCCUCCCCCUGCGUGAGAGAUCUCUAGCAUAUUAUGUACAAUAUCCCGAUCUGUAAAAUAAUGGUUAAAAUACAGAUCGGCACGAAAAAUGCUGCCACACCACGCAAACGCGUCCAACCCGUAAUUUUUUUGCGGGGCACGAUAAAAAUUCGCCCUCAACCUUCAGUUUUACGGGGUGAGAGGCCGACCGGAGCACGCCCCUUAUCCGCAACGAGAUUUUGAC
rnacentral:lncRNA from 1 species